AUGUCGGCGGCGCAGGCUGCGAGCGCCAUCUUGCGGCCGUCCGCGAGUACGCCGCUCAGGGAAGCGGCGUUCUUCUUCACCGAUAACCACAACCCCUCCCCGGCUCGCCUCUGCAUCCGACGAGGCAGUGCGGAGAGAACCUUGGCUUCAAAUUGCACCUCCAACUUUAACAGAUCCAGAAUUUGCCAUGUUAAAAGUGGGGAGGCUGAUGGCUAUCCGCAAACUGAAGAAGAUCAGUUAGCUGACGAAGAAACCCUUCAGCGUAAUUUGGACAGAGCUAUCCGGGAAGAAGAUUAUGCCCGUGCUGCCAAAAUCAGGGACGAUCUGCGUGUCCUCCAUGAGGAUACUGAAGCUUCCGUCCUUGCAGCAAAUACACGAUUCUACAACGCUUUCAAGAAUGGAGAUUUUACUGCAAUGUACUCUAUCUGGGCUAAAGGAGACCACGUGUAUGUCGUCCAUCCCGGUGCAGGUCGGAUAUCCGGUUACGAUGUGGUCUUGCAAAGCUGGGAGAUGGUGUGCAACGCGGACUAUGAGUUCCCUCUAAACAUUGAUCUUAAGAACAUAGAGGUUCAUGUGCGCGGUGACCUUGGUUAUGUUACAUGCUUGGAGUUGGUCAAGACCAAAGGAAAAUCUUGGGGCAAGCAAAUUGCCACCAACGUCUUCGAGAAGAUAGAUGGCACAUGGUAUAUCUGCAUUCACCAUGCUUCACACAUUGAAGAAUGA
rnacentral:rRNA from 1 species